rnacentral:rRNA from 1 species
CAAUAGCGUAUAUUAAAGUUGUUGCAGUUAAAAAGCUCGUAGUUGGAUUUGUGGCGGUCCCUGUGGUCCAAUUUUGGUACUCUCGGGGACUGCCAUCCUUGGGUGGAUCCUGUGUGGCAUUAGGUUGUCGUGCAGGGGAUGCCCAUCGUUUACUGUGAAAAAAUUAGAGUGUUCAAAGCAGGCUUACGCCGUUGAAUAUAUUAGCAUGGAAUAAUGAGAUAGGACCUUGGUACUAUUUUGUUGGUUUGCGCACCGAGGUAAUGAUUAAUAGGGACAGUUGUGGGUAUUCGUAUUCCAUUGUCAGAGGUGAAAUUCUUGGAUUUCUGGAAGACGAACUAAUGCGAAAGCAUUUAUCAAGGAUGUUUNCAUUA